ensembl:misc_RNA Metazoa_SRP Metazoan signal recognition particle RNA
GCCUGGCACAGUGGCGUGUGCCUGUAGUCCUAGCUUCUCAGAGGCUGAGGCUGGAGGAUCACUUGAACCCAGGAGUUCUGGGCUGUAGUGUGCUAUGCCAAUUGGGUGUCCACACUAAGUUUGGCAUCGAUAUGGUGACUUCCCGGGAGUAGGAGACCACCAGGUUGCCUGAGUAGGGGUGAACUGGCCCAGGUUGGAAACGGAGCAGGUCAAAACUCCUGUGCUGAUCAUUAGUGGGAUUGUGCCUGUGAAUAGCCACUGCACUCCAGCCUGGGCAAUGUAGUGAGACCCCGUCCCCC